rnacentral:rRNA from 1 species
CAAGCUAUGCAUCCCACGCGUUUGGGAGCUUUCCCCAUAUGGUCGACCUGCAGGCGGCCGCGAAUUCACUAGUGAUUAGAGUUUGAUCAUGGCUCAGAUUGAACGCUGGCGGCAGGCUUAACACAUGCAAGUCGAGCGGAAACGAUACCAGCUUGCUGGUAGGCGUCGAGCGGCGGACGGGUGAGUAACACUUAGGAAUCUACCUAGUAGUGGGGGAUAGCUCGGGGAAACUCGAAUUAAUACCGCAUACGACCUACGGGAGAAAGGGGGCAACUUGUUGCUCACGCUAUUAGAUGAGCCUAAGUCGGAUUAGCUAGUUGGUGGGGUAAAGGCCUACCAAGGCGACGAUCUGUAGCUGGUCUGAGAGGAUGAUCAGCCACACCGGGACUGAGACACGGCCCGGACUCCUACGGGAGGCAGCAGUGGGGAAUAUUGGACAAUGGGGGCAACCCUGAUCCAGCCAUGCCGCGUGUGUGAAGAAGGCCUUUUGGUUGUAAAGCACUUUAAGCAGUGAAGAAGACCUAACGGUUAAUACCCGUUAGCGAUGACAUUAGCUGCAGAAUAAGCACCGGCUAACUCUGUGCCAGCAGCCGCGGUAAUACAGAGGGUGCAAGCGUUAAUCGGAAUUACUGGGCGUAAAGCGAGCGUAGGUGGCUUGAUAAGUCAGAUGUGAAAUCCCCGGGCUUAACCUGGGAACUGCAUCUGAUACUGUUAGGCUAGAAUAGGUGAGAGGAAGGUAGAAUUCCAGGUGUAGCGGUGAAAUGCGUAGAGAUCUGGAGGAAUACCGAUGGCGAAGGCAGCCUUCUGGCAUCAUAUUGACACUGAGGUUCGAAAGCGUGGGCAGCAAACAGGAUUAGAUACCCUGGUAGUCCACGCCGUAAACGAUGUCUACUAGUCGUUGGGUCCCUUGAGGACUUAGUGACGCAGCUAACGCAAUAAGUAGAC